GCGGGCGUGGCUCAGUGGUAGAGCAUCACCUUGCCAAGGUGAGGGUCGCCAGUUCGAAUCUGGUCGCCCGCU
rnacentral:tRNA from 2 species